rnacentral:rRNA from 1 species
UACGGAGGGUGCAAGCAUUAAUCGGAUUUUUUGGGCGUAAAGGGCGCGUAGGCGGCUAGUCAAGUCUUGGGUGAAAUUCCGAAGCUCAACUUUGGAGCGGCCUUAGAAACUAACUAGCUGGAGGGUAGACGGAGAAAAUGGAAUUCCACAUGUAGCGGUGAAAUGCGUGGAUAUGUGGAAGAACACCAGUGGCGAAAGCGGUUUUCUAGUUUAGACCUGACGCUGAUGCGCGAGAGCAAGGGGAGCAAACAGG